UUUCUGGUUGAAAAUAUAAACCCUACAAAUUUAAAAGUAAAGAAUUAUAACACCAUACAUUUAUCAGUGUUCAUUUUUCGCCACACACGCACACAUUAACAUACAAAUUAUAGUAAAACUAUAAUAGAUCCCUCGCUACGCUCUGAAUCCAAAAACAGCAACGAACGUAUAUUAUAAAUUGCAAUGGGAUCAAGGAUAAUCCUUCGAGGUUUCGACUGCCCCUACUGUCCUAAUACUCAACUAUUCCUGUCCUUAAUUUAACGAUAAAAAUGCACCGUUUGUUUGUAAGAAGUAUAUAUGUAUAUUAUAAAUUAUUUUAGUAUUACGAUCAAAGAUAUUUCUUUCGAAGGUUUGACUACCCCUACUAUCCCAGUACCCGAUUAUCCCUACUAUUCAUUUAACGAUACAAAUGCACCGAUUUUUUGGAGAUAAUAUAUUAUAUAAUUACAGUAAAUUAAAGUAUUGUAAUAUGAUAGUAUUCGGGUGUUAAUUGUUUUACAAAGAUAACGUAAAAGGUAGAGGAACCAUUUGUUUCUUAGAGUGACUGAGCUUAGCUAUUUACUGACAUUUUUUUGCAGAUUUUU